rnacentral:rRNA from 1 species
CCCUACGGGAGGCAGCAGUGAGGAAUAUCGGUCAAUGGCCGGAAGGCUGAACCAGCCAAGCAGCGUGAAGGACGAAGGCGCUAAGCAUUGUAAACUUCUUUUGUCAGGGGACAAAAUCAAGCACGAGAGCAUGAUCGCAGGUACCUUACGAAUAAGAACCGGCUAACUCCGUGCCAGCAGCCGCGGUAAUACGGAAGAUGCGAGCGUUAUCCGGAUUUAUUGGGUUUAAAGGGAGCGUAGGCGGACGGUUAAGUCAGUUGUGAAA